rnacentral:rRNA from 1 species
GGUGGGGGUGCUACCAUGCAGUCGAACGAUGAAGCCGGAGCUUGCUCUGGUGGAUUAGUGGCGAACGGGUGAGUAACACGUGAGUAACCUACCCUUGACUCUGGGAUAAGCCCGGGAAACUGGGUCUAAUACCGGAUAUGAGUCAUCACCGCAUGGUGGUGGUUUGAAAGAUUUAUCGGUCUUGGAUGGACUCGCGGCCUAUCAGCUUGUUGGUGAGGUAAUGGCUCACCAAGGCGACGACGGGUAGCCGGCCUGAGAGGGUGACCGGCCACACUGGGACUGAGACACGGCCCAGACUCCUACGGGAGGCAGCAGUGGGGAAUAUUGCACAAUGGGCGGAAGCCUGAUGCAGCGACGCCGCGUGAGGGAUGACGGCCUUCGGGUUGUAAACCUCUUUCAGUAGGGAAGAAGCGAAAGUGACGGUACCUGCAGAAGAAGCACCGGCUAACUACGUGCCAGCAGCCGCGGUAAUACGUAGGGUGCGAGCGUUAUCCGGAAUUAUUGGGCGUAAAGAGCUCGUAGGCGGUUUGUCGCGUCUGUCGUGAAAGUCCGGGGCUUAACCCCGGAUCUGCGGUGGGUACGGGCAGACUGGAGUGCAGUAGGGGAGACUGGAAUUCCUGGUGUAGCGGUGGAAUGCGCAGAUAUCAGGAGGAACACCGAUGGCGAAGGCAGGUCUCUGGGCUGUAACUGACGCUGAGGAGCGAAAGCAUGGGGAGCGAACAGGAUUAGAUACCCUGGUAGUCCAUGCCGUAAACGUUGGGCACUAGGUGUGGGGAACAUUCCACGUUUUCCGCGCCGUAGCUAACGCAUUAAGUGCCCCGCCUGGGGAGUACGGCCGCAAGGCUAAAACUCAAAGGAAUUGACGGGGGCCCGCACAAGCGGCGGAGCAUGCGGAUUAAUUCGAUGCAACGCGAAGAACCUUACCAAGGCUUGACAUGUUCCCGUUCGCCGUAGAGAUACGGUUUCCCCUUUGGGGCGGGUUCACAGGUGGUGCAUGGUGUCGUCAGCUCGUGUCGUGAGAUGUGGGUAAGUCCCGCAACGAGCGCAACCCUCGUUCCAUGUUGCCAGCACUUCGUGG